rnacentral:misc_RNA from 1 species
AACGCACGAGACCUGCGGACCUGCGGAAGGAUCAUUACCGAGUUUACAACUCCCAAACCCCAUGUGAACAUACCUGUUUCGUUCCCUCGGCGGUGUCCGGCAACGGCCCGCCAGAGGACCCAACAAACUCUUUUGAAUUUUUCAGUAUCUUCUGAGUGAAAAAAACAAUAAAUCAAAACUUUCAGCAAUGGAUCUCU